rnacentral:rRNA from 1 species
CAGCCGCCGCGGGAAUACGUAGGUGGCAAGCGUUGUCCGGAAUUAUUGGGCGUAAAGGGCUCGCAGGCGGUUUCUUAAGUCUGAUGUGAAAGCCCCCGGCUCAACCGGGGAGGGUCAUUGGAAACUGGGAAACUUGAGUGCAGAAGAGGAGAGUGGAAUUCCACGUGUAGCGGUGAAAUGCGUAGAGAUGUGGAGGAACACCAGUGGCGAAGGCGACUCUCUGGUCUGUAACUGACGCUGAGGAUCGAAAGCGUGGGGAGCGAACAGGAUUAGAUACCCGCGUAGUCCCUGUCUCUUAUAU